rnacentral:rRNA from 1 species
UACGAAGGGGGCUAGCGUUGUUCGGAAUUACUGGGCGUAAAGGGCGCGCAGGCGGCCCUCCAAGUCAGGCGUGAAAGCCCCGGGCUCAACCCGGGAACAGCGCUUGAGACUGGGGGGCUUGAGUUCGGGAGAGGAGAGUGGAAUUCCCAGUGUAGAGGUGAAAUUCGUAGAUAUUGGGAAGAACACCAGUGGCGAAGGCGGGUCUCUGGGCCGUAACUGACGCUGAGGAGCGAAAGCAUGGGGGAGCGAACAGG